UAGUCAUAUGCUUGUCUCAAAGAUUAACCCCUGCAUGUCUAAUUAUAAGCAAUCUAUACGGUGAAACUGCAAAUGGCUCAUUAAAUCAGUUAUCGUUUAUUUGAUAGUACCUUACUACUUGGAUAACCGUGGUAAUUCUAGAGCUAAUACAUGCUAAAAACCCCGACUUCGGAAGGGGUGUAUUUAUUAAAUAAAAAACCAAUGCCCUUCGGGGCUCCUUGGUGAUUCAUAAUAACUUAACAAAUCGCAGGGCCUUGUGCCGGCAAUGGUUCAUUCAAAUUUCUGCCCUAUCAACUUUCGAUUGUAAGGUAGUGGCUUACAAUGGUUUCAACGGGUAACGGGAAAUUAGGGUUCUAUUCCGGAGAGGGAGCCUGAAAAACGGCUACCACAUCCAAGGAAGGCAGCAGGCGCGCAAAUUACCCAAUCCCGACACGGGGAGGUAGUGACAAUAAAUACUGAUACAGGGCUCUUUUGGGUCUUGUAAUUGGAAUGAGUACAAUUUAAAUCCCUUAACGAGGAACAAUU
rnacentral:rRNA from 1 species